GGCCUUCAAACCAAGAAAUCGAUCAGGUUGUCGAGUCCAGCGUGCAGACUCACUUGUUCAAGAAAGUGUAUGAUUCCAUCAUGGAACGCAACCAUAGGUGGAACGAGCUGCCAGUUCCAAAGGUGGCGCUGUACCCAUGGGAUGACAACUCCACCUACAUCCGCAAGCCCACCUACCUUGAGGGCAUGUCCAUGAUGCCACCUGGUCCACCCACGGUGAAGGAGGCCUACUGCCUGCUCAACCUUGGGGACAGCAUCACCACGGACCACAUUUCCUACUCGGGGAAGAUCCCCGAGGGCACCCCUGCGGCCAAGUAUCUGCUCGAGCAUGGCGUGGACCCCAAGAACUUC
rnacentral:lncRNA from 1 species